rnacentral:rRNA from 1 species
AACGAACGCUGGCGGCGCGCCUAAUACAUGCAAGUCGAGCGAGAAGGUGUAGCAAUACACUUGUAAAGCGGCGAACGGGUGAGGAAUACAUGGGUAAUCUACCAUCGAGUGGGGAAUAACCAACCGAAAGGUUGGCUAAUACCGCGUACGCCUCCGAGUCUUCGGGUUCGGAGGGAAAGCUGCACUGUGAGUGUAGCGCUCUUUGAUGAGCUCAUGUCCUAUCAGCUUGUUGGUAGGGUAACGGCCUACCAAGGCUUUGACGGGUAGCUGGUCUGAGAGGACGAUCAGCCACACUGGCACUGCGACACGGGCCAGACUCCUACGGGAGGCAGCAGUAAGGAAUAUUGCGCAAUGGGCGACAGCCUGACGCAGCGACGCCGCGUGGGGGAUGAAGGUCUUCGGAUUGUAAACCCCUUUCGGCAGGGAAGAUGGAACGGGUAACCGUUCGGACGGUACCUGCAGAAGCAGCCACGGCUAACUUCGUGCCAGCAGCCGC